UGUGUGUGUAUGGAUGUUUGUAUGCACAAAUUAAAUAUAUAUAUAUAUAUAUACACAGACAUACAUACACAUACAGACGUUAAUGCGGAUACUUUUUUCCCCCCUCUUUCCAUUUGUUUAUUGUUCCCUAGAUAAGGGAACUCUGGAAAAAAUGGAAGAAUCUUUGACGUUUCAAGCCUACACUCUACUACAGAAAGGAAUGAGGAGAGAAAACAAAUGGAUAGAGGGGAAAAAAAUAUCUGUAUUAACAUUUACACAAAUUAAAUUGCAAUGUGUGUGUGUGUACAUAUGGAUUUUCAGAUACUUGUAGAGAAACUUCGGAUAUAGGAAUCAACAUUUCAUAGUGUCUAAAUUCUAUGGUCAUUACUCAAGGGACAGGAAAAAAUUGGUCUUGAAUCAAAAUUCAAGAUGUGAGUUUAUCAAAAAGUCCUCGAGGCUUUGCCCUUGAUCUCUGUAGGGAGACUUGAGGAAAAUUAGUCUGUGGUAGUCAAAUGAUUCUUCCUAACAUCGUCACACGAGUACCAAGAAUCAUGUAUUGCUCUCUGGUGAGUCUCAACUUCUGUGAUUGUUCUGGCUUGUUUGGCAAGAGUUGGUUUGCAUUCUUAAAUUGCCCUCAACACUGUGUGCUUGAUCUUCAAAGGGCUUUGCUUAUCACUAGAGAAAAGCUCACAAAUCUCAAGGACACUCACUUUUGUUCUAACUUAGUGGCAUAAUCUCCUGCAAGUCAAUUAGUUGAGAAUUAGGUUCAUAUCCUAAGUUCAUUACACUUUCAUUAAACUAUGGGUAGUUUCAGGCAAGUUGGUAUAAAAAAGGUAAGGUUAGAAGUUGUAAUAUUAAUUUGGUUGUUAAUUAGUGAGCAUACUCAUUAAUUACUGCUUUGUGAUCAUUUUUGAAGAGACCAUUAGUAACUGUGAUCCAAUGAAGGAGCCUCUAUAUAGUUUUCUAGACCUGCUAAAUAUAUCAGCCAAAUAUCCAUCAGGACACACACAAAAAGACAGUAUCAUCAUAGCUGCUAUGCCUUUCAUCAUAUUUCUACUUAUUAGGGACUUACUUAGGGCUAAACAACAACAACAAUGAUCCUAUCCUGUAUUGGGAUCAUUGUUAGUGAUAAUUGUGAUUUUUUUUUUUUUUUUUUUUUUUUUUUUUAUUUUUAAACCAUACAUAAGCUGGUCAUUUAAAUAUUUUUAACUUCAUUAAAACAAUUACUUGAUUAGCAAUUUAUGAAUUUGGGGGUUUGAUAAAAAUGCUCUUACAUUAGUAAGCCACAAUGUUGUUUGAUUUCUUCUGCAGAAAGUUGGCUAUAAAUUUACUGUAAUGUCUUGGAUUAUGGGAAUGUUGCACCAGAU